GACGAACGCUGGCGGCGUGCUUAACACAUGCAAGUCGAACGGAAAGGCCCUGCUCUUGUGGGGUGCUCGAGUGGCGAACGGGUGAGUAACACGAGAGUAACCUGCCCUUGACUUUGGGAUAACUUCAGGAAACUGGGGCUAAUAUCGGAUAGGAGCUCCUGCUGCUUGGUGGGGGUUGGAAAGUUUCGGCGGUUGGGGAUGGACUCGCGGCUUAUCAGCUUGUUGGUGGGGUAGUGGCUUACCAAGGCUUUGACGGGUAGCCGGCCUGAGAGGGUGACCGGCCACAUUGGGACUGAGAUACGGCCCAGACUCCUACGGGAGGCAGCAGUGGGGAAUAUUGCACAAUGGGCGGAAGCCUGAUGCAGCAACGCCGCGUGCGGGAUGACGGCCUUCGGGUUGUAAACCGCUUUCGCCUGUGACGAAGCGUGAGUGACGGUAAUGGGUAAAGAAGCACCGGCUAACUACGUG
rnacentral:rRNA from 1 species